AUAUUUAAAAUGUUCACUGUGACAAAAAAAAAACCCCUCUCUCCGUUUAAUGUCAGGCAUGGCAACCAUCUAAUUUAAAUAAUACUUUCGAACACAGUUAACAUCCCGUACCCAUUGACAACGCCUAAAAAGGAGUUUGAUGGGCUUGUAGAAAUUCGCUAGAUCUAGCCGUGUAGAUCUCUAUAUAAGUCCAUAAGUUUUAAGGACUUGGAAUUUUAAGCAAAACUCCUGCUAGCGAUUAUUACCUGCUAAAUCAAUGAACGUCGAUUUUCAUAUUGGGUUUUUAAAGCGCAUCUGGAAUCGAUACAUCUUCGAUACAUAGAAGGCAGCUUGAAUGGCGCUGUGCACGGGGUAUUCCCUAGUCGAUCACGUGCGACUAGAGCUCUCUAGUUUUAAUGUGUAGCGGAUGGAGUAUUGCUCAAUGCAGUCAACUGAACGACUGCAUAAACAAAUGCAUGGGCUGAUUGUAUUGACAGCAGCAGCAGCAGCAGCAACAACAGCAAUGCCUGAGUUAAAUACAAUGAUAAUGAGCAAUACAAGUGACGAGAGACAGAGUGAGAGACAGAGAGAGGGGAGACAGAGACAGGGAGAGUGCGGGUUUACCUAAGAAGUGCUGCAAACAGUUGGAAUAAUCGAAACCUCCUUGAUGGAAAGAUCACAGACUUGAUGAAGUUUCGGGCCCAAGCGCAUAUCGAAGAAUCUUUAUAGCUCUGGAUUAGCAAUCAAUGAAUGCAUAUUUCAGCGAUUUUGAAAAAUUUACCCGCAACUGUGGAAUAUUGGCGGAAGUCGAUUAAGGCUGUUUUUAAUACUAGGUAGUUAGAUUGAGGCAAUAAGUUAAUUACAUUAAAAAACAAACUCUUCUUCGCUUUGAAGCUAAUCAGCAUCUUUAAUUACCAGAGCCCGGAGCGAAAGAGUCGCAGCUGGCAAACUUUAAGCGUGUUGCUCUGCAAAUGACAGUCCAGUCAGUCAGCUGUGCUGGCAGCAAGGGGUGUGGGCGCUGUUUGGUUGGGAGGACACUUCGCGCACUUCAUAA